CUGUAUACACCCUGCUGUCGAAAUGACAGCAUCUCGUCCAACGUAGGCAUGAGUGUUGUGAAUAAUGAUUGCGCAAUGAGGAUAAAUGUUUGUGAGAAUAUACUUAACUGUGUGAUGAUUAAGUAAUCAACAUAAUCCAAUAUAAAGAUCUUAAUGGUUUUAUGAUAGCAAGCAAGUCAGUAGCACAAUGUCAACGACUAACCACUUGAAUGAUAUUUUAAGUAUGCAGGAUAUAAUAGAACUGGUUAAGCUCCUUCGUCAAAAUGGUGACAAGGUUUUAAGUGCUUCCAGUAAAUUAUCAUUAUCAACAAAAUUGCUAUACAACCUCAAUGAAGCAUUCUCAAUGAUUGUAGUAGAAUCUGAAGAUCUGGAAACUUCAUUUCAUGUGUGCAAUAGUUCUAAGAUAGACAUAUUUCGUGAUGUGAAAUUUUUACAUGAUUUUGUGCAGAAGACUAUAGGUCUAAAAGUAACACAUUAUUCUUCUGACCCCAAAGUUACCAUUGAUAUUUCUAAAUUCCGACAUUUAAAGUAUCUAGAGCUAAAGAAGGUACCUAUCGAAUUAGUGAAAGGCCUACAGAGUAUCAGAGGUCAAUUGGAAGGUAUUGUUUGUGCUGGAAGAAAAGGAGUAUCCACAAUCAGUCAAUUGUUAGCGAUAUGUGGAGCUGAUGCUGGUGUCGGAUUUGUAUGGGCAUCUUUGAAACAUUUAGCGUUACCUCAUAAUGUUCUAAAUUGCUUGGAUGAAUCUUUAGAAUUAGCACCUUGGCUUCAAACAUUGGAUUUAAGCCACAACAUGAUCACUAGUGCUGAAGAGAUAUCCUGCUUGUCAAACCUGAAGUAUGUCAAUCUAGGUUACAACAAAUUAGAAAGUAUACCAUCGUUCAACAAGGCAGUGUUACAUUCAUUACAAGUGUUAGUACUGAAGAACAAUUACAUUGACAGUUUAAAUGGUCUUCAAGCUUUAGAAUGUCUGACUGAACUAGACUUAUCAUUUAAUUGUUUAACGGAACAUUCAGUCCUCUGGCCGCUUCAAAAGAUGUCUGCCUUGUUGUGGGUGUCAUUGGAAGGAAAUCCUCUAUCAUAUCAUCCAAAGCAUCGGAUGCUGUCUUUAAGACAUUUGCAUCCGAGCCUGUCGAAUAGCAAAUUUGUUUUAGAUCAUGUAUUACUUUCAAAAUCAGAGAAGGCACUAGUUGCGGAGAAUCGAGUUUUUACAAUGUGUGCAAAUCAAUCUGUAUCAUCGACUAGUACAUCAAUGUUCGUGAAUACGUACGAACCUAGUGAGAGUAGUUCCGAUAAUCGAGUAACAUCGUUAGCUGAAAAUCUAGAAAAGAGUUUGACGAAAAGUAAGAAGAAACCAAGUUUGAAAGAAGCGAUCAUCGCUGAAGCCGAUCAAGAAACUGAAGAGUUUAAGCAACUACCCGAUGUGGUAGCGUCUUCUCAUACGGAGAUGUCGACCGAUCAUUUAGAGACGAAAAAACGCAUGUUAGCUCUCCGAGAGAGGUUUGGCGAGGACAACUGGCUGAGUAGUCACGCGGGGACUUUUGUUCAAGACAUCAUGGGUCUGCAUUCCGUUUCGCAACCAGCUACAUUGUCAGUAACGAGAAUACAGACUUUGGCUGAUGUUGACGCGACAUCAUCUCUUCACGAGUCUCUGAUUUACAUGAUGGACAGCGAACAAUCUCUCGAGGAGUCUGAAUCACAGGAAAUCGCAGUACAGGCGGAUGUUGAACAAGAGGAUAUUUCUCAGAACGAAGAAACGUUACCGGACGAGUCUGUGGAAACGGAAGAAGUUAUUCCUGUGAUCGAGUAUGAUCCUAAAGAAGAAACUGCAGAUGUGUAUCUCGUCCACAAGCGAAAGAACGACGAUGAGAAGGAGUAUGUCUUUCUGACGAUAACUCCUGCAGAUAUCAAAGAGAGAGAAACGACCACUGGAAAAGUUAAGUAUUCUUGGUCAACAAAUUCGGUGCUAUCCUGCGUCUUAGGUAGAAGCAAGUCACCCACAGUUGAUAUUAUUUUUGACACUACGCGGAAAGAUCGAGAAAACAGACGGUAUUUUGCGGAACCGAAUGAUGCGAAGGAAAUUGUAGCAACGAUCAGUGAACAGCUCGAAGCACGGCCGAUAUUGUUGAAAGUCUUCAAGUGCAUGAAAUGUUCGACGCAGUUUUCGCAAGACGCGGAAUAUGUCAGGCUCGCUGUUACGUCAGCAACAGGUGCGAAACAAUUUAAAUGCCCCGCUUGUGGCAGCAGUUUGGUCAUCGAGACGGAAACUUCGCCCAACGCGGACAGUCAAAUAGCGGAGAAUUUUGCGGGUGCCAAUUUGCAACACUCCGAAUCAUAUUCCAGUAUCGGUGGAACGGAAGGUGGAGCUAAAUCCGUCACCACUUCUCUGGUGCACUCCGAAUCUCACAUUCAAGCUCAAGUCUGCUGUUCAGCGACAAGUCUAGAAGAGUCGAGGGGCUCCACGCCAUCUGCAAACGCGCAAACGAAAAAGUACGAGAGCGACAUAGAAAUACUCAGCAACCCUAGCCAGAGUAGCAUCGAAGUUUUAGAUGAAGCACAAAAGACCAAUCUCACGCCAAAACGGAAACGCUCAAUUGAAGAAAGGCGCGCCGCAAUAGCUCCUUCUUUAAUAACAAUUCCGGAUGUAACACCAGUCAUGGCAGGCCUUACGGAAAGUAGUUCUUCGGGUUCGUUGACCGACAGCAUAUGCACAGCAUACGAAAAUAAGAUGGCUAAAUCAGCAAAUGUUGACGCGAAGUCGCACAGCAGUGAUGGCGAGAAGGAAACCGCGUUCGCCCCUGUAACAAACUUGACAUCGAUGUUGGGAGGUUUGCUCCAAAGCAUCAAAAUCGGCAGCAAUAAAAUGUUGAAAGGCGAGGAGGCCUCGAGUUUCUUCGGUAGCAGUGUGCAAUAUUCAUAUACCGAUUUUAGCAGUAUAGAUCACAGAAUCAAGUUGCACAUCAUCCUAAAUGUGUUUGAGCACGAGAACGAAGAGCUAGUCCUUCUUCUCAGGGCAGACAUUUUGAUGCAUUCUAUGCAAGAAACUUUUCCUGGAUGCCUAGUACUGUCUACAUCUAAGGUUUACAUUCUUAGGAUUAACGGGCCAGAAGGAAUCAAAAUGAACUUGCGACAGAGAGGACCCACAACGAUGGCUUCACAAAGAAGUCAGCUGGACGAUGGACAGACUGAGAUCCUUCGUACCAUUGCCGUUCAAACAAGGUGUUCUGAUUGAGCUGCAACAACCUGGUAAAACUAAUGAGGAGCAUCUGAGCAUCACGGUGCUCUGCAUCUUGCAAGAUUUCCAGAGAACGUCAAACUUUUUGUUCUAUAUCACAGAUCUGCAGUUACCUCCGAGCUGCGAAGUAGAGUUUACCGUUCCGGAGCACUGCAGUACCUUGAUGCACAAUCUACUAACUAGCACUGCAAAUUAUCAGGCUGGAGAUUCUGUACGAUUAUUGGCAAUGUUCUCCUUCGCGGUUCUAAAACAGCAGAGCGACA
rnacentral:misc_RNA from 1 species